rnacentral:rRNA from 1 species
GACGAACGCUGGCGGCAGGCCUAACACAUGCAAGUCGAGCGAGCAUUUCGGUCCUAGCGGCGGUCGGGGGAGUACCGCGUGGUAACGUGCCCUUUUCUGCGGUAUCGUCCUGUGAGACUGGGGUUCAUACCGCAUAGGCCCUUUUGGGGAAAGAUUUAUCGGAGCAGGAUCGGCCCGGGUUGGAUUCGGUAGUUGGUGGUGUAAUGGCACACCAUGCCGAGGUUGCAUAGCUGGUUGGUGAGGAGGACCAGCCGCACUGGCAAUGAGGCACGGACUAGACUCCUACGGAAGGCAGGAGAGGGGAAUCUUAGACAAGGGGGGCAACCCUGAUCGAGCCAUGCCGGGGAAGUGAGGAAGGCGGUAGGGUUGUAAAGCUCUUUCAGCUGGGAAGAUAGUGACGGUACCAGCAGAAGAAGCCCCGGCUAACUACGUG